GCGCCCACCCCCACCCUCAGGAAUGCCACAUGGCCUUCGUAGAGGAGUGGUGGGAACGUAGAUCGGGAUAGUCCGCUUGGGGGCAGGAAGUGGCCCGUUCCUCCUUUCGGAGAGCAUUUCCGGAGCGCCUACUGUGUGCUCCAUUCUGGGGGUGAGGGCCGUUACGGAGAGGAGAAUUAAUGCAAAUCUUGAUGUUUGUUAGUCCGCUCCCUUCAUCAGGACCUCCCGCCGGCGGUUUGAUUUUUCCCAUUGCACGGAAAGGAAACUGAGGCCCCGUUAGUCCAGGGAUUUAAUCCCAGCUGCACUAUUUAUUUUGAUGGAAAAUUUCAAAGAGCUACAUGUCUCACACCUCUCUCACUGGGAGCUGACUGCUUACAGCCUUCUGGGACCUCUGCACAGCAGGAUGUUGUGACGGGGGAGGCGGCGGUGGGGAGAAGCAGGCCACUCCAAGGUGGGUCUGAGGACAGACUCCACGAUCUUCUGUUCUCUGACGACACAUCCCUCAUCAUGCCUUCCCCAGCGAACCCCCGAGUCCCUUCAAGUCCUAGAGACAAGCACGUGCCAUUGUCUUCCACCCCUGGGAGGACACUGCCCCCCACCAGAGGGAAAGAGGCUUCCAGAGGCAAAGCUGCCCGCCUAACAGAAAGUAUUAGAGAUCUGAUUCCUGGCUCUUCUCUUGUGCCAGGCACUCACACACACACGCCACUGUCAUCUUUCCAGUGCCACGAGGAGGCAGCACCUUCUCCAUGUUAGGGAGGAGGUCACAGAGGCUUGGAGGCUGACCCAAGCGUGUGGCUGGAAGAGCUGCUGUGGAGGAAGAAGAAUCACACUCACCAAGUUUUGUUCACAAAGGCCCCGGAACUGCUGGAAUUUCUGGGACAUCAGCAGCUGGGCACUGCCCACAGCACUGAGGACUUUUCCUAAGACUGAGAAAGAGAAGAUAGAAAAAGACUGAGCAGAGCACAAGGGCUGCUGGGCGGAAGGCAGGAUCGGGGUCGGGCUUUCCCUCUCCUCCCCACCUUAGGCUGCCAGUCACUCUGAUGAUGGCAGUCAGUCUUUAUUCAAUUUAUAAUCCGCUCUCGUGACAAAUGCAAACCAUACAUAUAAAGUGAACCCUGUCCCCUAGUUGCUAAGGCCAUUUUAUGGCAAUAAAUUUGGAAAUUGAAUUUAAAUGGAAAAAAUUUUCAGGAAAAUGUAAAUUACUAUCAUAGACUCAAGAAGAGAUAGAAAAUCUGAUUAGACCAGUAACUGUUUUAAAAAGCUGAAGCAGGAAUUAAAAAUAUUGCCCAGAUAAAGGAACCAGGCCUAUGUAGUUUUAUAGGUGUGGUUUUACAAAACUUCCAAGGGACGGAUUAUCCUUGUCCUGCAUAUCUGAAUUCUUCUAGAGAGUAACUGAAUAUAGAAAAUGACACAACUAAUUUCAGAAACCCUGAGAGAAGACAGGACAUGCCAAGAAGAGGGCACUUCUAUUACAAACAUAAAUGUAAAAGUCUGAAUUAAAAGCAAAUAGAAUCUGA